AGACCCGAAACCCGGUGAUCUAGCCAUGGGCAGGUUGAAGGUUGGGUAACACUAACUGGAGGACCGAACCGACUAAUGUUGAAAAAUUAGCGGAUGACCUGUGGCUGGGGGUGAAAGGCCAAUCAAACCGGGAGAUAGCUGGUUCUCCCCGAAAGCUAUUUAGGUAGCGCCUCGUGAAUUCAUCUCCGGGGGUAGAGCACUGUUUCGGCUAGGGGGCCAUCCCGGCUUACCAACCCGAUGCAAACUGCGAAUACCGGAGAAUGUUAUCACGGGAGACACACGGCGGGUGCUAACGUCCGUCGUGAAGAGGGAAACAACCCAGACCGCCAGCUAAGGUCCCAAAGUCAUGGUUAAGUGGGAAACGAUGUGGGAAGGCCCAGACAGCCAGGAUGUUGGCUUAGAAGCAGCCAUCAUUUAAAGAAAGCGUAAUAGCUCACUGGUCGAGUCGGCCUGCGCGGAAGAUGUAACGGGGCUAAACCAUGCACCGAAGCUGCGGCAGCGACGCUGAUGCGUUGUUGGGUAGGGGAGCGUUCUGUAAGCCUGU
rnacentral:rRNA from 1 species